GGGUUGUGAGGUUAAGCGACUAAGCGUACACGGUGGAUGCCCUGGCAGUCAGAGGCGAUGAAGGACGUGCUAAUCUGCGAUAAGCGUCGGUAAGGUGAUAUGAACCGUUAUAACCGGCGAUUUCCGAAUGGGGAAACCCAGUGUGAUUCGUCACACUAUCAUUAACUGAAUCCAUAGGUUAAUGAGGCGAACCGGGGGAACUGAAACAUCUAAGUACCCCGAGGAAAAGAAAUCAACCGAGAUUCCCCCAGUAGCGGCGAGCGAACGGGGAGCAGCCCAGAGCCUGAAUCAGUGUGUGUGUUAGUGGAAGCGUCUGGAAAGGCGUGCGAUACAGGGUGACAGCCCCGUACACAAAAAUGCACAUACUGUGAGCUCGAUGAGUAGGGCGGGACACGUGGUAUCCUGUCUGAAUAUGGGGGGACCAUCCUCCAAGGCUAAAUACUCCUGACUGACCGAUAGUGAACCAGUACCGUGAGGGAAAGGCGAAAAGAACCCCGGCGAGGGGAGUGAAAAAGAACCUGAAACCGUGUACGUACAAGCAGUGGGAGCACGCUUAGGCGUGUGACUGCGUACCUUUUGUAUAAUGGGUCAGCGACUUAUAUUCUGUAGCAAGGUUAACCGAAUAGGGGAGCCGAAGGGAAACCGAGUCUUAACUGGGCGUUAAGUUGCAGGGUAUAGACCCGAAACCCGGUGAUCUAGCCAUGGGCAGGUUGAAGGUUGGGUAACACUAACUGGAGGACCGAACCGACUAAUGUUGAAAAAUUAGCGGAUGACUUGUGGCUGGGGGUGAAAGGCCAAUCAAACCGGGAGAUAGCUGGUUCUCCCCGAAAGCUAUUUAGGUAGCGCCUCGUGAAUUCAUCUCCGGGGGUAGAGCACUGUUUCGGCAAGGGGGUCAUCCCGACUUACCAACCCGAUGCAAACUGCGAAUACCGGAGAAUGUUAUCACGGGAGACACACGGCGGGUGCUAACGUCCGUCGUGAAGAGGGAAACAACCCAGACCGC
rnacentral:rRNA from 1 species